AGUUAGGGCUCGACUCCGGAGAACAAGCCUGAGAAACGGCUAGUAGGACUAAGGUCUGCAGCAGGCGCGAAACUUACACAAUGCUAGAUUACCAUUAGCGAUGUAGUGAAGUGAAAUAACGAUGUAUUGGGUUUUUAAAGACCUAGUACAAUUGGAAUGAGACGACUUUAAACAAGUUAGUCGAGUAACAAAUGGAGGGCAAGUCUGGUGCCAGCAGCCGCGGUAAUUCCAGCUCCAUUAGCAUACAUUAAAGUUGUUGCGGUUAAAAAGCUCGUAGUUGAAUUUCUGGCGGGCUCUAUUGGAUGGUGGUCGUGAAGGCUAUUCUGAUGGUUAUCCUAACGGAUGCCUCAAUUAGCUGGCCAUCCUAUCCUAUAGGAACCCGUUGUUUCGUCACUUGUUCGAGUGCGAAGCGGGGUGGCAUUUAGGCAAUCCCCAAGGGGAAUGUUCUCAAAUAUCACCAUGUUUACCUUGAGAAAAUUAGAGUGCUCAGAGCAGGCAGUUGGGGUGUAAAAGCCCCUUUAUGCUUGAAUAAUGUUGCAUGGAAUAAUAGAAUACGGCCUCGGUUCUAUUCUGUUGGUCUUAUAGAACAACAAAUAAGUUGGUUGCGGCACCAAAUGGCUCCAUGUUGGGUCUGUGGUUAGAGGCUCUCUGCUUAUUUGUGCUCGUUGUCUGGGGCCUAAAAAUCCCAGUACCUUCGCAAAUUUGUCAGAUCCUCUCUCCAUUCCAAAGCAGGCCCCUUGGAGCUAGCCAACAAUCAACUGAGGCAAUGGUUAAAAGAAAUAGCUGCGGCGGCAUCAGUACUGCAUCGUGAGAGGUGAAAUUCUUAGACCGAUGCAAGACUAACUGAAGCGAAAGCGUUUGCCGAGGAUAUUUUCAUUAAUCAAGAACGAAAGUUAGAGGUUCGAAGGCGAUCAGAUACCGCCCUAGUUCUAACCAUAAACGUUGCCAACUAGCAAUUGGGUUGUGAUUCCUUUAAUUGGAACCCUAAAAAAGUUCCAAUCAUUAUGAUCCACCCAGCGGCUCUCGUAGGGAAACCAAAGUGUUUGGGUUCCGGGGGAAGUAUGAUUGCAAAGUUGAAACUUAAAGGAAUUGACGGAAGGGCACCACCAGGAGUGGAGCCUGCGGCUUAAUUUGACUCAACACGGGGAAACUUACUAGAUUAGAACUCUGGAAUGAUUGACAGAUUGAUAGCUCUUUCUUGAUUCAGAGGAUGGUGGUGCAUGGCCGUUCUUGAUUCGUAUUCCGAAACGUCUGCUUAAUUGCGAUAACGAGUGAGACCUCACCCAACUAACUAGUCGCCUGGUGCGCUGUGGGACACAAAAGUCUAGCGUUGGUUAAGCUGCAGUGCGGCCGUAGUGGCAACAUGAAAGCCCGCUGUAGUCCAGUGUUUAGAUGUCCUCUGCUCGCCGGCGGACUUCUUAGAGGGAUAAACGGUGUUUUAGCCGUAAGAAACGAGGCAAUAACAGGUCUGUGAUGCCCUUAGAUAUUCUAGGCCGCACGCGUGCUACAAUGGCGUGUGCAGAGAGCUUAUUCGAGGUUCGUCCCCGGUGAAACUGGCUGUUUGGUAUCAGGCGUAGCGGGCAACUGUUGCGUUUGGCAUCGGCAGAAAAGUGCCCGGGUGCUUACGGGCCGAGAGAAACCGUGCUCGAAACGAGUACGGCAAUCAUAAAUACACGCCGUGAUUUGGGAUUGGGGAUUGCAAUUGUUGCCCAUGAACGAGGAAUUCCCAGUAAGCGCAAUUCAUCAUAUUGCGUUGAUUACGUCCCUGCCCUUUGUACACACCGCCCGUCGCUACUACCGAUUGGAAGUUUUAGUGAGGCAUCUGGACCUGCUAACCAUAGAGGGGGCAACCUUUCUGAGG
rnacentral:rRNA from 1 species